rnacentral:lncRNA from 1 species
CGUUGCUUGGCUGGACCAGCCGGCGAGCCAGGCUCCCGGGCGCCACCUGGUGGCCUUUCUGGUGGCGAGGGGUGCCCGAGGUGCUCACCUCCAGAAUCCAGCCACCACUUUUUGAGGAAGCCCAGGCCACAUGGAGAGGCCACAUGUAGGAGUUCCAGCCCACAGCACCAGCUAAGAUUUCAGCUGCUCCAGCCAGUGUUGACUGCCAGACAAGUGAGUGAAGAAGAUGAUUCCAGCCUUCAGAAUUCCAACUGAGGACCCAGACAUUAAGAAGCAGAGAUAAUGAGUCUGGAAUAUGAAUUUGAUGGCUGGUAUUCCAGCUGCCAUCUUGGACCAUGAGGAUGGAGCCACACCCUAGGGAUGGCAGAGUGGGAACCUGAGGCUUUCCUGCUGCCAAGAUGCUCACCUGGACUUUUAAGAUCAGGGCCCAGGCUUCAUGACGAGGAUAGAGAAACUGUCUGGCUGUAAGACUUGGACUCAAUGCAGAUUCCUCAUCCAGAAAGAGAGCUCUGGGCCGCACGCUUCUGAAGACCCUUCCGGCUCAAACCCAUGUGCUCAGCGUUAUCCACAACAGCCAAAGGGUAGAAAAAACUCAAGCGCCCAUCUACAGAUGAAUGGAUAAACAAAAUGUGGUCUAGCCAUACAACAGAUUAUCCAGCCUUAAAAAGGAAGGAAAUUCCGACACAUGCUCCAACAUGGAUGACCCUUGAGGACAUUACGCUAAGUGAAAUCAGCCAGUCACAAAAAGGACAAAUACCACGUGAUUCCACUUGUAUGACAUACCUAGAGUAGUCAAAUUCCUGGAGACGGAAAGCAGGGGAAUGGGGAGUUGUUCUUUAAUGAACAUAGAAUUUCAGUUUGGGAAGAUGAAAUGGUUCUGGAGAUGGAUGGUGAUGAUGGUAAUUCCAGUGACCUGUGCAUUUGCAAAUGGUUAAAG